rnacentral:rRNA from 1 species
GACUACUGGGGUAUCUAAUCCCGUUUGCUCCCCUGGCUUUCGCGCCUCAGCGUCACAUGCACCCCAGCGGAUCGCUUUCGCCACCGGCGUUCCUCCCGAUAUCUACGCAUUUCACCGCUCCACCGGGAGUUCCAUCCGCCCCUGAUGCAGUCUAGCACAGCCGUCGCCCGGGCAGUUCCUCGGUUGGGCCGAGGGAUUUCACCCGAGCCGUACUGCACAGCCUACGCGCCCUUUAAGCCCAGUGACACCGAGCAACGCUUGACACCUCUGUAUUACCGCGGCUGCUGGCACAGAGUUAGCCGUGUCUUCCUCUCGCGCCUUAGUCAACGCAGGACGUGUUGGGUCCUGCGCGUUCGUAACACGUGACAGCGGUUUACAAUCCAAAGACCUUCAUCCCGCACGCGGCGUCGCUCCGUCAGACUUGCGUCCAUUGCGGAAGAUUCCCCACUGCAGCCCCCCGUAGG